GGGCUAAGUCUGUUGGAAAACAGCAUCAUGGACGGUGACAAUCCGGUUCUUGCCUGGGGUCCCGCGGCGUACGAGCCGUUUCCGACGAGUCGUGUUGCUUGGGAUUGCAGCACUAAGUGGGUGGUAAAUUCCAUCUAAAGCUAAAUACGGGCAAGAGACCGAUAGCGAACAAGUACCGUGAGGGAAAGAUGAAAAGACUUUUGAAAAGAGAGUAAAAUAGUACCUGAAACUGCUGAAAGGGAAGCGAUUGAAGUCAGUGUUGCUCCUGGUCU
rnacentral:rRNA from 1 species